CGCCGCCUUCCGGCGCUCUCCGCGCGCGCGCACCCCGGCGCCAAGAAUAUUGUCAUCGAGUGGCAUGGGCACCACUGACCACCUCCUGCCAUUUCAGUCAAGAAACAGGUAAGUGUGGUGCCACCUUACAAAAUACCUUUUGGACUUCAGAGUUGUGGAUAAGGGCUUGUGGGAGGUGGUCAGGGUGACUUCUCCAGGUGUUUAGCUUAAGCAGGUGAGUGGGUGAUGAUGAUGUGGAACAACCUAGGGAACAGUUUUAGGGAGACAGUUGUUUCCUCCAGGUUGCUUUGGGGACAGCUAGCUAUAUAGCCAGAAUGUGAGAGGACCAGGAACAGAGAGAGGUGAGCAGGGAUUGGAGGAGACUGUUUUGAAGCCGUUCUGUAAACAGGACGUCCUGUGGGCCGAGAAGAGAUCAGGGGCCUGCAGAUGCCUUGAACUGAGAAAGCCUUCCAGAGCUGCACCUCGGCUUCAUGCUCCCCGCAGACCCAUUGUGCCCUGCUCCUUUGCUGCCUGCAGACACAACCGGAGACCUCGGCUCAAGUAAACCUGACUCCUUGAUGGAGUCACCACCUAGUACCUAGCAUUUCUAACUGUCCACCCACUCUUUAAACUCUCCUCCCGGAAGAAGCAGCAGGGGCCUUGACUUGUUACCUGGGAGCAUAGUGACUCUCUGGGCUUGAUUAUCCUGAAGUUCAUUAUUUGUUGUUUAGGGCCUUUUUUGUGUGUGUGUUUGAUACUGGGGAUAGAACUUGAGACCUUGUGCUUUCGAGGCAGCCGCUGGAACCACUAAGCUAAAUCCCUGGGCCUUUAUUUUAACCCCAUGAAUCUUAUAGUUGGGGGAGGAGAGAUAUUGUGCCCUAUUCAGAGGUAUGUACUGUAACCACAUCUACUCUGUCCAGCACAGCACAAUCCACCUGUGUGAUUCUAACACAGACAGAAUGGUGACACAGCGGUUUGUGCUAUGCUUGUAUUCAAGUGGAAGAUGAUGAAAGCGAGAACCAAGGGAAAGUUCAAAGGAAUCAGACCAAGAGGUUAUUGUGUUGGUGUCCAGGAAGAGAGGGAAUGGUAGAAAGGCAUUGCCUUCUUAAAUAAACAGCAUAUUUACAGUCUUCUCUGUUUGUCUUAGAAGAGACUUUUGAGAAUUGGUUUCUCUGGCAGAGCCUUCCUUUACCCAUGCAUCUGUUAUUUUAGCUCAGUAGUGAAAGUGUGGACACAGAGAUCUCUGAGAAUCUUUCAGGGGCCAACAAGGUCAUUACUAUUUUCCUAAUUAGACUACAAUGUUGUUUUGUUCCCAAGGUUGACAUUUGCACCGAUGAUGCAGAAAUCAACAGUGAACUGCAUGAAUCCACAUAGCAGGACCAUUUUUUUUAACUUUUAUUUGUCCAUGUUUGCAGUACAUAAUGAUUACAUUCAUUGUAGGGAAUUGGUACAUGUACAUAACACAUAUCACUUCUAUUUCUCCCCUUCCUUCCACCCCUACUUUUACUUUUCUAGCAUCAGAUUCAUUUAUUUAUGUUAUAAGACUUUAUAAAGUUAAUUAUCAUAUAUACAGAUUGAAAACCAGACUAUUAGGCCAAAGAACAUAUGAAAAACGUAAGACAGUUGUACUGAGUCAAUUGGAUACAUACUUGUGGAUACAUUGUCCAAGUUGGAUUACAAUACCUUUUUUCUUUUUCUGCCUCUUUUCCUAUUAUUUGUCUUUUAUUUCAUAUGUUAGAUAUAUUGAGUUUUUCAUAUAAGAGAAACCAUGUGCUAUUUAAGCUUGUUUGAGUUACUUCACUUACUAUUAUGGUCUCAAGGGUCAUCUGUUUUCCUACAGGAAGGACUCAGGUUUAUCCUUUAUAGCAGGACCAAAUUGUAUCACUCUUCACAUAGGUCUCUGCAAAAGUAAAAUAAAUAAAAAACAGGUUUUCUUUCUUCUUUCUUGUGGUACUGUGGGUGAUGAACCCACUUCCUUCCAACUAAGCUACAUCCCCACUCCUUUUUAAACAUUUUUUGAGACAUGUUCUUGCUAAAUUGUUCGGUUACUCAGCUGGGCUCAAAUGUUCAGUUUUCUUGCCUCAGUCUCCCAGAGUGCUAGGAUUACAGGCAUGAGCCACCAUGACCUGUGCCAGGCUCACUAUAAAAUGUGAUUGACAAAGCAGUAAAAAUUAUCUCCAGGUCCUUAAUAUUCUACAUGGCAAAAUGGGACUUGGUAGAAAGCAAUUCUGCCACGUGCUGCAGUGCCCUGGCUGUUUUAGAAGGAGCACUUGGGGAGAAUCUCUGAGUUGUUCUUUAAGUGACCACUGUCACUUAAAAGGAAUGACGUAAAGAAACUGUAGUUAUUCAGACUUGGAUACCUGAAGACACCUUCUUGAAAAAUGAGUCUGUUGUUCCAACAGACAGCUAUGAGUAAGUAUGUGUUGCUAAUGUUAAGAUGUGAGCUUUCGAGCAAAAUCCAGAACAUUGGAAACCUGUAGCUGCUGCUGUGAGCUCAACAACUGUGCAAGUCCAGUAAGUUCUUGAAGACUUUCUGGAUAAGAUUGAUGUGAUACUAAUCUAAUGAGUGUAAUUUCUUGAGAUUGGAUAACAAAAUUUGGCAAUGUGGAAAAUUCCUGUAGCUCAAUAAAUCAAUUUUUCCAAAGACCAAUGUCAUUUUAAUACCACAAAAUCGCACAUGGGCAAAAGGUCCUUUCAAAGUGUACUGUGAAGGAUUCAUUGAUAAUGGCUUCAGAUUCCAUAUUCUGCUAAUCUUUAAGAGACCACCAUGGUUUGAGCUUUGGCAUAGUAUCAGUGAAUAUUCACUCUUAGCUGAAAGCAAUGUAGGUACUUCUGCCUUAGAAAAGAUGGUGGUUUCCAGGAGCGGGGAGGUGGAUGUAGGAGGAAGAGAGGUGGAUGUGAGUCUCAGCAGGCAGCAUAGGAGGUUAGUAUGAGGGAGCCUGCUGUACCUUCCUGUGGUGGUUAUGUGAAUUUCCCCACCUGAUGAGGUCCACAGAACCAGCUCACACACACAAAUGACCGCACACAGAAACAGUGAGCCCCAAAUGAAGUCCCAGAACUUUAUCAGUGGUGAUUUUCUGGCUGUGAUUUUCUAUAAUUAUGUAAGCAAUCCCUAAGAGGAAAAACUGGGUAAAAGGUUUACAGAACAUCUGUACGAUUUCUUACAAAUGCAUGUAAAUCUAUAAUUGUCCCUAAGUAAAAUUCUUUUUAAAAAACUCUACUUUUUUUCCUUAGCUACUGUACGUGUCCCUAUGAGGCCAGAAUUCCUCCAUAUAGUCCAUCCGGGGUGAUAUAUAUGAUAACAACAAACCAGAAGCAUGUAAGGCAGUGACAGUGAACCUUUUAGAGCUUUCAGUUACAUAAACAGCCUGCUACAGCACACGUGCUAUAGGUUCACCAACACUGAUAUAGCUGUCUUCUACUAGGCUAGACAUGAAAAGAGUGUUAUAAAAAAUAAUAAAUAAUGCCAGUCAGCUUUCCUGUGCAUUAUAGCUUUAGAAAAAUAACUUUUUCAUAAAAAGUAUUAAAUGUUGCCGUGUAAUAGACUUAUUUUUAAAAUAAAGUUAUAAAUGUUUUACACUUCUCUGUUUUGACUGCCAAUUUGGAAAUUAUUGAUAGUUAUAAGACACAAAACCCCAAGAUCUUCAACUCCUUUUUAAGUGCAUAUGAGAGUCCUGUGGUCAGAGAACAUUAGGAUUUCCCUGGGUUAAAUGGGGGUCAAGAAGAGGAAGAAGUCGCUGAUGAAGACCUUAUUCAGAGGGGACAUCAGGUCCUUCAUGGAUGCCCUGUGCUGCUGCUGGCCAGUGCAAACAGACACGGCUGGGAAAUUUCAGCAAGCUUUCAUUAAAGGUAGUGAGUCUACAAUAUGGGACUAAACCCUUGUGUGAGCCCAGAACACUGGCUUUUGGGUCCCGGUAGACAUGAGGACGAGGACGAUAGGAUGAGAGAGUGACUGACUUUUCCCUCUCUCUCACUGGCUUUGACAUCUGUUUCCUUUCUGAAUCCAAAAGGAAACACUACAACUAAUCGCAGGAGAGAGCUUCCCUCUCAUGGGACAUCCAGUCUACCAAGGGGACAGCGGUACUCCUAGAGAGAAGAGGGGAAGAGACAGCUACCACUGGAAUUCGUAAAGAAAGGGUUUCUGACAUUUCAAAGUUUAACUUCCACAGUGUCUUGCCUUGCAGUGUCAGUACUGAGAGGUGUGAAGAAAUAAUGCUGGGACAGAAGAAUUGGUAUCAUGGGACAUGUGCAGCUGCCAAGCAGUGGACAGACAGUAGGAUCCCUGAUGAACAGAGUUGUGUAUGGGCUGCCCAGCUGUCUCAGUGUCCUGGUCACAGGAGAGGUGCUGGAGUCCCAGUGUGGCUGGGGACCUUCAGAAGAAGAGUGUCUAGCAGAGGAGAGGAGACUUCCAGGGACCUUCAGGAAGGGUAGGGGCAGAUGAGGGGAUGCAAGAAGGACAUGGAUGUAGAUCAGUGAUGAUGGUAUUCCGGGCAUUGGGACCACUUGACCACAGCAAAGAAUGUCUUUUUUUGUUUGGGGGCACUGUUGAGACAGGAAACCAGAUUAGAAAAGACCUUAAAAACCAGCCAGGGUAUCUGGAAAUGAGGAGUGAUUAUAGACCCUGAAGAAUAAGGAAAAUAUUUCUUUAAGAAUUAUGUGUUUUCUUUAAAAACUAGAAACAUCUUUGGAAAGAAAAAAUUUUUCUCUAGUUUUUAGUUAUUCCCCCCAGACUUUUCAUAUUUCUAGAUGGAAAAUAUGGGAUGACUAUUAAUAACAGUACAGUGGAAUUGCUCCUAUCAGGUCUUGCAGGUUUUUUGUUUUGUUUGUUUUUGUUUUCUACAAGGGAUUGAGCCCAAGGCCUUUGCCCUGAGCUACAUUGUUCUUUUUUAUUUUUUAUUUUGAGACAGAGUCUCACUAAAUCAUUAAAUUGCCCAGGCUGGGCUCAAACUGGUAAUGUAAUCUUCCUGUCUCAGCUUCCCAGAGUGCUGGGGUCCCAGGUGUGUUCCACCAUGCUCAGCUCAGCAGCAGUCUUUAAAACAAAAGCAUCUUGGUGGCUGGCCUGGGGCUUGCAGUUUAUUAGCAUUGCUGAACUCUGCCACGCUCUGGGAGAUGAGGAAAGUAUGAAUGUGUGUGAGGCAUCAUUUAGUUGGACCCAAUAUUACCUGCCGAGCAAGGAAAGACAGGUGGACACCGAUUAACAGCUUGGCUGCUGGCAGAUCCAGGUUCCAAUCUCUGCUUUGUCCUUAUUCAGCCCACAAACAGUCUUAGUUCUUCAGUCUCCUCCUGCAUGGCAUGGUGUUGACCAACAGUAUCUGUCCCAUGGUGUUAUUCUGAGGAUUCACUGAGCCAGUGUAUUAAAGCAGAACAUUUAAAGCCGAAUAUUUAAAGCUGUAAAGGCUGUUACUUCAUAUUAGUAGCUGAUUAUGGAGGACCUAUUAAAAUAGAAAAUUCAAUAGCAUAUAUAUCUCUCCUCUUCUUUGCUUACAUUUGGUAUAUUUUCUUUUUUUAAUUUUUAAAAAUUAACUUUAUUGGUACAUUUUAGGUAUAUAUUAUGAUCACAUUUAUCAUUGGGAAUUUGUACCUGUACAUGAUGUAUCUUAGUUCUUGUUUUUUCCCAUUCCUCUUACCUCCCUCCCAUCCCUCCACCCCUCUUUAUUUACAGAAGCUUUGUUUCCAUUUUUUCCUUUUUAUAUUUUUUCUUUCGCUUCUUUCCUUUUCCCCCUACUACCCCUUUGAACCUUUGCUUCCUAUUUCACAUUAUCUAUUAUACAUUUUUUUCCUCAUUUACACUUUCAGUUUCUCACACCAGAGAGAUAAUUUGGUAUUUACACAUGUAUUCUAUUUAUUUCACUUAAGAGUAUGGCCUCGAUAUGCAUUCAUUUAGCUAUAAAUGUCUCUAUCGUUCUUUAUGGCUGAGUAGUACUCCAUUUGAUAAAAAAACCCCACAUCUGCUAUGUUUUCUUACAUUAAAGAUCAGUUUGAUUAUUCCAAAAAAGUUAAACAUACUCCACAGGAUAAUCAUUAUUAGAAGUUGGAAUGCUAGCUUCCAAGGUUCUUGGAUACUUCACAUCCAAAAACAUGCUUUCCAAGCAAAUGACACAGGCAAAUAUCUGAGCAAAUGAUAUGUAUAGUAGACUAAAACUUCUAUCCAGUUGUUACCACUGUUUUUACUUAUUCACUAUGAAAAAUACUAUGAUAAAGUAAGAAGUGUGUCCAUUUGGUUUGUAGCAGAGACAGGAGCAGACAGUCUGAGUCGGCUCACCAUUCAGCACACCUUUGUUUUGAAUGUCAGGCCCACUCUUGGGACCUGGGAUAUAAACGCUGACAAAACAAAAUGCCCUGUCUUCGUAGAGCUUGUGUUUUAGCAGGAGGAAAUGGAAAAUGGUCAGGAGAGAUAUGUACAUUACAUAGUGUGUUAGAAUCUGAUAACGGCUGUAUAAGAACAGGAUAUAAAAUGGAUCAGGGAUGGUCUGGGAGGCAGGGUGAGCAAAGAGUGGAGACUUUCAAGAGGGUGAACAGGUGGCCCCCUGGGGGAGAAGAAGCUGGGCACAUACUGGAAGGAGAUAAGGGACCUGGGCAAGCUGUUAACUGGAGAAAGAUUAAGUGAAUAAAAAUAUCACAAGAAGUGUGUGUUUUGACUCAAAGCUCCAGAAGGUCCAGUCCAUUACUCCAGUAUUGUAGGUGGAUGAGUAUAAAUGUAAAGUAGCAUAAAGUUCUCUCUGAAUGUCUUGUGAGACUACACAUAGCCCCUUUCUCUUAAAUCUGAUCCUCUGGUUUCAUUUUCAUACACUUAACGACAUGGGAUUCAUUGAAUAAAAAUAACAAGGAUGAUGGUGGUGGCGAUGCUGCUGACACAGCAGUAAGUGAACUUGUAUUCACAUUGACUGUUAGGUGUUAAAAUUGUUAAUUCUGUCUGCGUGUCAGGUUACUGUUUCUUCUAGGGUUGGUUCCAACUGGCUUUCAGCCUUAGACAGAGGAAUCCUGAGCUGUGGGUUUUCUGUAACUUUAAUCACAAGACAAGACUGGACCCCUGCCUCUCCUCUAUGCCUAAAGUUACAGAGUUCCGCCAGGUCUGGGAAAAUGGACAGUGAAUUCCUUCUUUGGAUAAUGCAACAAUGUAAGAACCUGAGUAGUUCCAGAAAGCCAAGGUCAUUUUCAGACCCUUGGAGAGAUCCCUUCUGAAGUACAACUGCAGACCCGGCGACCUUGGGUCUGAGACAGGAAGGCUGUGAUUCCACUCGGAGUUGCCAUUUUGUACAUCUGUCUUAUCAAAAUUAGUUUUAACUUUUUAUAACUGACUGGAUUCUUUUCAAACAUAAUGACUAACUCUUCACAGCUUACUAGAAAUAGUAAACAGAGGACACAGAGGAUCAAGAUGAGUUAAAAAAAAAGCAAGUUAUCCUCCUAUCAUCAUAGCGAGUAAACCAUAGAAUGAUAGGUUUAUACGUGCUUUGUUUGUUUUUAAGAAAGUGCCUGCCGCACCCCCUGCAUUUGCCAGGUGGCUUUUCUACCCUGUGCAAGGCUUUUAUUCUGUCUAUGAAAAUGAUAGUUUCCCUGCAUAUCAGAUCUUCCUUGGGGGCGGUAUGUGACUUCCUUAAACUAUGCUGGGACCCACAAUAAAACUCAAAUUCACACCAUGAGCCUCCUUGGAGAAUCUGAUCUUUUCUUUUAAGACCCUAUUUUUGAAAUCUAUAUGUAAAAAUAAAGAAAGAUUAACCUACUCCUGUAAGAAUAUGAUGGAUAUGGUAAAAUUAUGCUUUUGAACUUCAUUAGAAGAGAAUUGCUAAACAAAAGCAACCACUUUUUUCCCAACUAGUGCAUGUAGCAUGUGCUAAUCCAGCACCUAAUACAUAUAAAAGCAAUCUCCUGCUUUUGUUUUUUCAUGUUUUUUUAACCAUCUCCUGAAAUAUCUUCAGAACUCUUCAGUAAACCUGGCUGGCCUCUCCUUCCCUUAUAAUAAAUAUGGACACACAUGGUGAUCCCUUCUUCGGGCUGGGUUUUAUUCUCUGUAAGAAUCUCCUGGGCCCAAAGCCUCAGUGUCUGCAAUAUGAUGGGAGCACCUGACUGCCCAGGUGCUCUUGCUGUCCUAUAGAGUUGUUUUGUUAUCCUGAAGGUGCUAAUGACUGCGAGGUACUGGGAGAACUGCAGUGCACCAUAGAGAUAGAGCUGUAAAGGCUUGUUUUGUGGUUACGGUUUAAUCACAGGGUUAGCAGAUAUCUUCCCAACCCUUAGAGCAGUACAUUAUGAAGCUCACGGUUAGAUGAGCCAAGCUUGCAGUAAGCAUUUCUUUUAGGGAUGUUUCCUUAGCUGAUGCUUCUCUCAGAAAACUACUUUUUUAUAAUAACAGUAAGAAUAUCUUUUGAAAGUCUUCAGCUUUACUUUGAUAUUAGGCAAAUUCUGAGCCCUGGCUUCCAUCUAGACAGAAUACUGAUUCUCCUUCAUACUAACUUGGGUACUAGAAGCCUUAUUUUUCCUACUUAGACUGAUGCU
ensembl:lncRNA